GUGUGCUCAAUAAGGCACUGGAUUGGUCAGUUGAGUUUUCUGAGCGAAACUGGGCCAUUUCCAUUGUCUGGCCGAG
rnacentral:pre_miRNA from 2 species